rnacentral:rRNA from 1 species
GGUGCUGCAUGGCUGUCGUCAGCUCGUGUUGUGAAAUGUUGGGUUAAGUCCCGCAACGAGCGCAACCCUUAUCCUUUGUUGCCAGCGAUUCGGGCGGGAACUCAAAGGAAACUGCCGGUGAUAAACCGGAGGAAGGGGGGGAUGACGUCAAGUCAUCAUGGCCCUUACGAGUAGGGCUACACACGUGCUACAAUGGCGCAUACAAAGAGAAGCCACCCCCCGAGAGCAAGCGGACCUCACAAAGUGCGUCCUAGUCCGGAUCGGAGUCUGCAACUCCACUCCGUGAAGUCGGAAUCCCUAGUAAUCGUGGAUCAAAAUGCCCCGGUGAAUACGUUCCCGGGUCUUGGACA